GGUAGUAUGGCUGAAUUUAAGCGGUAGGCUGUAAAUCUACUCAUAAGGGGCGCACCCUUUGCUGCC